GAUGAAGAACGCAGCGAAAUGCGAUAAGUAGUGUGAAUUGCAGAAUUCAGCGAAUCAUCGAAUCUUUGAACGCACAUUGCGCCCUUCGGUUAUUCCUUAGGGCAUGCCUUUUCGAGCGUCAUUUCAACCUUCAAGCCUGGCUUGGUGUUGGGCGCUGUCCCGCCUCCGCGCGCGGACUCGCCCCAAAUGAAUUGGCAGUCGCACCCUCCGAGCCGCGAGCGCAGCACAAGUCGCGCGGGCGGAACUCUGGGGGGACGGACGCUCCACAAGACCCUUUCUCAGUCUUGACCUCGGAUCAGGUAGGGAUACCCGCUGAACUUAAGCAUAUCAAUAAGCGGAGGA
rnacentral:misc_RNA from 1 species